CCUACGGGUGGCAGCAGUGGGGAAUAUUGGGCAAUGGGCGAAAGCCUGACCCAGCAACGCCGCGUGAAGGAAGAAUGCUUUCGGGUUGUAAACUUCUUUUUACAGGGAAGAACAGAAGACGGUGCCUACCGAAUAAGCCACGGCUAACUACGUGCCAGCAGCCGAGUUAAUACGUAGGUGCCAGGCGUUAUCCGGAUUUACUGGGUGUAAAGGGCGUGUAGCCGGGCUGACAAGUCAGAUGUGAAAUCGGGGGGCUCAACCCCAGAAUUGCAUUUGAAACGGUCGGUCUUGAGUAUCGGAGAGGCAGGCGGAAUUCCUAGGGUAGCGGUGAAAUGCGUAGAUAUUACGAGGAACACCAGUGGCGAAGGCGGCCUGCUGGACUGUAACUGACGGUGAGGCGCGAAAGCGUGGGGAGCAAACAGGAUUAGAUACCCCAGUAGUC
rnacentral:rRNA from 1 species